CAGCAGCCGCCGCGGGAAAACGUAUGUCCCGAGCGUUAUCCGGAUUUAUUGGGCGUAAAGCGAGCGCAGACGGUUUAUUAAGUCUGAUGUGAAAGCCCGGAGCUCAACUCCGGAAUGGCAUUGGAAACUGGUUAACUUGAGUGCAGUAGAGGUAAGUGGAACUCCAUGUGUAGCGGUGGAAUGCGUAGAUAUAUGGAAGAACACCAGUGGCGAAGGCGGCUUACUGGACUGCAACUGACGUUGAGGCUCGAAAGUGUGGGUAGCAAACAGGAUUAGAUACCCCCGUAGUCCCUGUCUCUUAUAC
rnacentral:rRNA from 1 species